AUGCCAUUAAAGUGUAAUUACAUUUACUGUAAAUGGGAGCCUUGGCAAGUGUCUUCUAGGAGCCGAGCGCUCCUGGAGCCUGUGACACGGAAAACCCCAAACCGCCACCGCUGGCUGCGUUCAUGGUUAGAGUUCUUAUUGUGUGUUUUGUUAGGGAUUGUUCUUAGUGUCCAGGAGCCUUUCAGAGGUAUUAGAAGAACUCGUGUCACUCCAAAGGAGAGUGAGCACCGGGCUGUUCACUCUGGGUCUUCCCUGCACGCACGAGCUGUCCUUGAGGUUUCUACGGAUCAAGUGCUGUCACAGUCAAGUGUGGCAGCUGGACAGGACGCGUUUGAAAGUACUUCUUCGAGAGCGAAGUUGCAUUCUGCGAACACAGAAAGAAGACCGCCUUCCCCUCGCGGGGGCCACGCCGGCUGCGUGGGGGUCGCGGGGCUCCCGACGCCGGAACCGCGUCCCCGGCUAACGCAGCGGGCGGGCGCGCCCCGCCGGGGAGGCGAGUGGUUCAGUCAGCCCGAGCCCCGUCUGCGGCCGCGGCCGCCCCCGCGGCGGGAAGGCGCCCGUCAGGGAAGUGGAGCGGCCCCGGCUUCCGGUGGCGGCCCUCAGCGCGGGAGCGCCCCUUAAGCCCGCCUUGCCGCCUGUCCGUCACGGAGCAAGGAGUUGGAGGGGCCUGCCUGCCCAGCUGGAUCCUGUCCCUUGCUUCUCCGAAUUUUGGACUCCCCUUUGUGCUACACGGGAAAGACAGACGUCGGCGCAGGUGAUGCUGGGGGCGGGGGAGGUUUACACAAGCUCCCGCCAAUCAGAACCUGCGUCUAGAGGCACCCAUCAAUCAGAACCUGAGUUUAGAGGUACCCAUCAAUCAGAGCUUGUGGUAUGUAAGCUCCCACCAGUCAGGACCUGCACCAUACAAGAAUCCACCAAUCAGAACCCACACUGUACAAGCUCCCACCAAUCAGAACCUGCACUCUACAGGCACCCACCAAUCAGAACUUGUGGUAUAUAAGCUCCCACCAAUCAGGACUUGCACCAUAGAAGAAUCCACCAAUCAGAACCUGCACUGUACAAGCUCCCACCAAUCAGAACCUGCACUGUAGAAGUGUCCACCAAUCAGGAGCGUUAAACUGGCUGCCACCAAUCAGAACCUUUGCUCCAUAGGCACUCCUACCAGAGGCAGCAUCCGGCAGGAGUAGGUGGAGAGAGACUCCUUAUUCCAGGAGGACCAGGAACAGCACUGGUUAAGUCUUCACCUGCCGCUUGGCAUUAAACACUGACCGCUGUCUCCCCGACUUGGCGGUGCAUCCUGGUGAGAAGGCCUCUGCCUUUGGCAGCUCCUAGUGAAGUUUCACCGACGAGGGGGCGGCCACCCUGCGUUAAGUUUGGGUUCAGGAUCCUCAUGGCUGGCACUGGGGCCUGGUCACCCCAGAACACAUUCAGGAGUUCACGGAGCACAAGCAGGCUGGGCGCGUCCCUGUGCACCCAGCCCGUGCCAGUGUCUGAAUGCUGGUGACUCUGCCAGCACCGCCGCCACCUCCCCCGGGUGUUGCCUCUCCUGACCCCGUGGUGAAUUCUCAGCCUUCUUAGAUCCCCGCCUCUGUGGCGCGCCUCCGCCAGGGAGGCAGACCUC
ensembl:lncRNA